rnacentral:rRNA from 1 species
GUCGAACGCUGGCGGCGUGCUUAACACAUGCCAGUCGAACGGAAAGGCCCUGCCUUUUUGGGGUGCUCGAGUGGCGAACGGGUGAGUAACACGUGAGUAACCUGCCCUUGACUUUGGGAUAACUUCAGGAAACUGGGGCUCAUACCCGAUAGGAGCUCCUGCUGCAUGGUGGGCGUUGGAAAGUUCCGGCGGUUGGGGAUGGACUGGCGGCGUAACAGCUUGGUGGUGGGGUAGUGGCUUACCAAGGCCUUGACGGGUAGCCGGCGUGAGAGGUUGACCGGCGACAAUGGGACUGAGAUACGGCCCAGACUCGUACGGGAGGCAGCAGUGGGGAAUAUUGCACAGUGGGCGGAAGCCUGAUGCAGCAACGCCGCGUGCGGGAUGACGGCCUUCGGGUUGUAAACCGCUUUCGCCUGUGACGAAGCGUGAGUGACGGUAAUGUAUAAAGAAGCACCGGCUAACUACGUG